UACGGGGGGAGCAAGCGUUGUUCGGAUUUACUGGGCGUAAAGGGCGCGUAGGCGGCCAGCACAAGUCAGUUGUGAAAUCUCCGAGCUUAACUCGGAAAGGUCAACUGAUACUGUGCGGCUAGAGUGCGGAAGGGGCAACUGGAAUUCUUGGUGUAGCGGUGAAAUGCGUAGAUAUCAAGAGGAACACCUAUGGCGAAGGCAGCUCGCUGGGACGGUACUGACGCUGAGGCGCGAAAGCGUGGGGAGCGAACAGG
rnacentral:rRNA from 1 species